CAUAGUAAGGAAUUGACACGACUGAGAGCUCUUUCUUGAUUCUUAUGUGGAGUGGUGGUGCAUGGCCGUUCUUAGUUGGUGGAGCGAUUUGUCUGUUGAAUUCCGUUAACGAACGAGACCUAGCCUGCUAACUAGCUAUUGGAGGUAUCCUCC
rnacentral:ncRNA from 1 species